GUCUCCAUGGUUCAAAGAGCCUGCUGCACAAGCCAGCAGCAUCCCUCUCUCCUGGGAACCAGGCCUCCUGGAGUUCCACGCUGACGCUGCUGAAUCAGAAACCACGUAGGCGGCUGGAAAUUCUCCGCAGGUGACACUGCAUGGCCAAAGUCUGAGGGCCCCUGACUUGUUCGGAUAGGUUCCCGGUGCCCUUCACCUUUGCGGGCCUGUUUCCUCCUCUGUGGAAUGCAGUCAGGAACAGCUCCCUUUGCGGCACUCAUGGGAGCAUGGCGUGGGUGACAGACUGGAGAAUAUAGCAGGGGAGCUGACACUGCUGGUGCACCGUAAAUGUUAGUUUUUUAAUUUGUUUUUAGUUGUCGAAGGACAUAUUCAUUUAUGAAUGUGUGGUGCUGAGAAUCGAACCCAGUGUCUCACCUGCGAGGCAAGCACUCUGCCCCUGGGCUAGAGCCCCAGCUCAAGGACAUUUGCCAUUGGAUUUAAGGACACCUAGGGAAUCCAGAGUGAUCUCAUCUCAAGAUCCUUCACCCAAUUACGUUGGCAAAAAUCCUUUGUCCAGAGCAGCCCGAAGCCACGUGGCAUCUUCCUGAGACACCAGGUUCUGAGAGCUGACUGCUUCCCAGGAUGGUCUGGUAUGCGCGAGGCAGAGGGAGCGCCUGUGAACCAGAGUAACCCAGGCCAGGCGCCGGCCCGGGCCACGCACCUCCAGGCUGCAGGGAGCUCGGAUGGAAGGGAGCUCCCUGGGAUUUUCUGUGUGCUCCUGCUUUGGGCCACACUCAGGUAGGCCUGGGUGUCCCCUCUGCUACUUGGUAGCCGUGCCACUUUAAUGAUCUUCACUGAAUCUCUCUGUGCUUCAGUUUGAGACUCUGUAAAAUAAAGUGGGUGAUAAUAACACUUACUUUAUAGGGUUCCUGGUAGACCAAAGUGGGUAAUGCAGGCGGAAGCUGGAAGAAAAUGUGCACAGCAUAUAUGUGUAACCCAGGACUUGCAUCUAGAAUAUGGCGAGGGAGGGGGAGGCACUUACAACUCAGUAAAUAAAAGACAAACAACCCUCCUUCCAAAUGCAGAAAGACGUAGACACUUCUUAAGAGCAGAUAGAUCCAAUAAACACAUGGAAAAAGCACAGGGCCUGGGAAGGAACUUGUACCCACAAUGGGAUCCCCUUUGGCACCCACUAGCAUGGCCAGAGACAGCAAUGAGGUCGAUACCCAAUACCACGUGCCGAUGAGGGUGUGGGGCCCCAGAGCUCCCACGGCCUCCUAGUGGAAGUGAAAAAUCAACACAGACAUCUGGAAAAUCAGCUUGGCAGUUGCUUAUAAGGCUAAAAAUACACGAAAUACGCUUCCUAUAUGACCCAAAGAUUCCACUCCUAGGUAUUUCCCCCACGACAUACGUCUGUACAAGACUCGUAUAUGAAAGCUCACAGCAGCCUGCUCGUCACCCCCCAGAGUGACAAGAGCCACAAUGCCCAGCAGCACUGAAAGGACAGACUGCGCAAGGCAUCCUGGGGACAGGACGCUUUGUAGCCACAGGCUGCUGGCAUACAUGAGCCCUGCAGGGACCUCAGAAGCGCUACUCUGAAGAAAAGAAGCCAGACGUGGAAAAUACACACGAUUCGGGUUCUAAAACAAGAUGGCGGUGCAGCCAUCGAGUCCCGGGACCUCUGUGUGAAGGCGGGGAGUCAAAGGGGCACAGGGAGACCGUCUUGGCCUGAUGGAAAUGUCUGGCACUCCUGCUUGCGGGUGAGGAGACACGGGUGUAAAACUGCGUUCGUUGUGAACUUCAGAUCUUCCUUGUACGGAAGUUGUAUCUGAGUGAAAGAUUAACCAGGGGUGUUGUAUGUGGAACGCUCAGCAAGGGGACCAAAGCUCCUGGGGGGACGCAGGCAGCAUUCACUAUUAGUGGUUUGCACAGGUGAAACAUUGACGGAUUGUGCUGUGAGUUCAGUGUGCAAACUCACUCCUCACUAGACAGGGAGCCCCGCAGAGUGGAGAAACCCAACCAAAAGAUCCCAGGUGAAGGCCGCUGUGCCCGACCCCUUCUUUCUCCUGUAAGCCAGAGCCAGAAGAGGGUGCUCAGCUUGCAAAGAUGCAGAUCCAGGACAGGAGGAUGGAGAGGGAGUCUUUGGGGAGGGGUAAGAACAGGUGCAGCAAAGACGUGCGGGUGCCUCAGGGGUCCACAGCCCAGGACACUGCAUGGGCGAGUUCCAAGGUGCCCGACACAGCCGUGGGCACGAGGCUGGGCCUAGCCCUUAGGCUGUAGGCUUGGAAGGCAGGACAGUCUCCCCCGGCCUCCCAUCUAGGACUCUUCCUGAACUCCCCUAGUGGAUGCCUCCUGUAGCCUCCACUCUUUCUGGAGUCCCAUCCUCACCCUGUGCUGGGCUGAAGCAGGGGAAGCUGCUCCCAGCGAGGGCGUCAUCUCCUGCCCUAGACAAGGCCUCCCACGAGGCACUGCAGUGGCCCAGGGUUGGCCUUGAGCUGGGCUCUCUGCCCUGGAGGAGCCUCAUCUAUUACUGGUGAGAUGGGCCAGAUGAGCUCUCCCACUCCACGGGUCUCAGCGUCCACCCUGCAUGGCUAGGACUUGCCCAUUUCUUACCAUGAGGAGUCCCGAGGGCAGAGUGGUGAGCUGCUGAGGCCAACAUGCAGGAUCUUGCUCCUGGCCCCCUGCCCAGCCCAUGGGGUCCACCUUUCAGACCUCCAGGGCCUAGCUUUGGCCUAGCCAGGCAUCCAGAGAUGCUCACAUUUGCAUAAAGUAAUCGCUCACAGCAUCUUUUAAAGAGAAGACCACAUCUGAGGUUUACAGCAACAGAAGAAGGAAAAACUAAGAUCUCCCUGUCCUCCACUAGCAAUCAGACCACUGGUGGCGGAGGGCCCACAUUUUGGAUGCAAAUCCUACAAAGGCCCCGGGUAGCUUUGGAGAAAACACCUUUGUAGGCGGUGGCAGGAGUGCCAACUUUCUGGUCCUCAUCAAAAGGCUUUGUCUGUACCUAUGAAUCAAAAGUCGGAAUAGGGGCUGGGGACAUGCAGCUCAGUGGUAAGAGAACUGGCCCAGCAAGCACAAGGCCCUGGGUUCCAACCCUAGCACCCCUACCCACCACCCACCAAAAAAGGUCAGAACAGGCUGCACUGAAUUACUAAACUUGAAACAAGUACUUUUGUUUGUUUGACGGGGGGAAGAAAUUGUCAUUUCGGUCUCAUGCUGGCUAUGUAAUUAGCAAAACGCAAUGCAAAAAAAUAAAACGCUUAUUGAAGGAAAA